rnacentral:rRNA from 1 species
AUUGAACGCUGGCGGCAGGCCUAACACAUGCAAGUCGAACGAGUGGCGGACGGGUGAGUAAUGUCUGGGAAACUGCCUGAUGGAGGGGGAUAACUACUGGAAACGGUAGCUACUACCGCAUACCAUCAGAUGUGCCCAGAUGGGAUUAGCUUGUUGGUGGGGUAACGGCUCACCAAGGCGACUAGCCCUAGCUGGUCUGGGAGGAGGACCAGCCACACUGGAACUGAGACCGGUUCCAGACUCCUACGGGAGGCAGCGGUGGGUAAUAUUGAACAAUGGGCGCAAGCCUGAUGCAGCCAUGCCGCGUGUAUGAAGAAGGCCUUCGGGUUGUAAAGUACUUUCAGCGGGGAGGCGUUACCCGCAGAAGAAGCACCGGCUAACUCCGUGCCAGCAGCCGCGUAAUUC